rnacentral:rRNA from 1 species
GACGAACGCUGGCGGCGUGCUUAACACAUGCAAGUCGAACGGAAAGGCCCUGCUUUUGUGGGGUUCUCGAGUGGCGAACGGGUGAGUAACACGUGAGUAACCUGCCCAUGACUGUGGGAUAACUUCAGGAAACUGCGGCUAAUACCGGAUAGGAGCUCCUGCUGCAUGGGGGGGGUUGGAAAGUUUAGGCGGUGGGGGCUGGACGGGCGGCUUAUCAGCUGGUUGGUUGGGUAGUUGCUUACGAAGGCAUAGACGGCUAGCCCGCAUGGGAGCGUGGACGGCGACCAUGGUCCUGCGAGAGGGAGCAGUGGGGUAUGGUAGGCAGCAGGGGGAAACCUUGCCCAAUGGUGCGGAGCGUGUGGAAGAGGCGUCCCGAGCGGGAAGCCCGCUUUGGGGUGGUAAACCGCAUUCGCCUGUGACGAAGCGGGAGUGACGUUAACGGGUAAAGAAGCACCGGCUAACUACGUG